AUGCUGGCUCAGGGAAGAGGAAGUGCGACCACCGCUCUGGUCGCGGGCGUCGUGCUCCUGUGCGUGCUCCUUCCAAUCACCGGCGCGGCCGCGAUGGCGCGGCAGGCGCCGAGGACGUACGUGGUCGGCGACGACAAAGGCUGGGGUCGCGACCUCAACUCAUGGUGGCCGAAGGACAAGACCUUCUACGCCGGCGACGUGCUCGUGUUCAAGUACGACAAGGAGCUCCACGACGUGACGGUGCUGGGCGGCAAGGGGUACCAGCGGUGCGAGGUGCCGAGGCACAGCAGCAAGAGCUGGGUGAUGCGCACCGGGAACGACCAGGUCACGCUGCGCAGGGGCAACAACUACUUCAUCUGCGGCCUGCCGGGCCACUGCGACAAGAACAUGAAGCUCGCCAUCAAGGCCUGGUAG
rnacentral:rRNA from 1 species